GAUGAACGCUGGCGGCGUGCCUAAUACAUGCAAGUCGAGCGAACAGACGAGGAGCUUGCUCCUCUGACGUUAGCGGCGGACGGGUGAGUAACACGUGGAUAACCUACCUAUAAGACUGGGAUAACUUCGGGAAACCGGAGCUAAUACCGGAUAAUAUAUUGAACCGCAUGGUUCAAUAGUGAAAGACGGUUUUGCUGUCACUUAUAGAUGGAUCCGCGCCGCAUUAGCUAGUUGGUAAGGUAACGGCUUACCAAGGCAACGAUGCGUAGCCGACCUGAGAGGGUGGUCGGCCACAGUGGAACUGAGCCCGGGCCCAGACUCCGCGGGGGGGGGACGGAGGGAAAUUUUCCGGAAAGGGCGAAGGCCUGCGGGAGCAGCGCGGGGGGGGGAAUAAGGGUCUCGGGAUCGAAAACUGGUUUUAUGGGGAAAAAAAAAAGGUGAAAGAAACUAUGCACGUCUUGAGGUAACCAAAUAGAAAGGCCAGGGCAAACUCCGGC
rnacentral:rRNA from 1 species